rnacentral:rRNA from 1 species
AGAGUUUGAUCCUGGCUCAGAACGAACGCUGGCGGCGUGCUUAACACAUGCAAGUCGAACGUGAAAGUGGCUUCGGCCAUGAGUAAAGUGGCAGACGGGUGAGUAACACGUGGGUAACCUGCCCCUUGGCGGGGGAUAACCAUUCGAAAGGAUGGCUAAUACCGCAUAAGACCACGUCCUUAUGGGAUGGGGUAAAAGACGAAAGUCACCGAGGGAGGGGCCCGCGGCCGAUUAGCUAGUUGGUGAGGUAAUGGCUCACCAAGGCAACGAUCGGUAGCUGGUCUGAGAGGAUGAUCAGCCACACUGGUACUUAGACACGGACCAGACUCCUACGGGAGGCAGCAGUGGGGAAUAUUGCGCAAUGGACGAAAGUCUGACGCAGCAACGCCGCGUGGGUGAAGAAGGCCUUCGGGUCGUAAAGCCCUGUCAGGUGGGAAGAAACCUGCGUAAGCAGCUGACGGUACCACCAAAGGAAGCACCGGCUAACUCCGUGCUAGCAGCCGCGGUAAUACGUAGGGGGCAAGCGUUAUCCGGAAUUAUUGGGCGUAAAGAGUACGUAGGUGGUCUUUUAAGCGCAGGGUUUAAGGCAAUGGCUUAACCAUUGUUCGCCCUGUGAACUGGAAGACUUGAGUGUAGGAGAGGAAAGUGGAAUUCCUAGUGUAGCGGUGAAAUGCGUAGAUAUUAGGAGGAACAUCAGCGGCGAAGGCGACUUUCUGGACUAUUACUGACACUGAGGUACGAAAGCGUGGGGAGCAAACAGGAUUAGAUACCCUGGUAGUCC